rnacentral:rRNA from 1 species
AUGGCGACCGACGGGGUGUCGAGGCUGAGCGUGGGGGUGAGCGUCAUGGUGGCGCUCAGCCUGGCCGUCUUCCUCACCAUCGUCAUCCUCCUCCUCGCCGACCUCUUCUGCUCCCACCUCCGCCGCCGCCGCCUCCGCGCGGACGCCAUCGAGGCGCCGCCGCACAAGUGGCCGAAGCACGGCCAUGGGGGCGCGGGGUCCUCAUCCCCGCCGCACAUUACCGGCACGGCCGACGACGCGUCCGUGUCCACCACGGCGCGCGGGGCGCUCACCAGCACCCCGCCCUUCUACUACGCGCACGGCGUCAUGUGCGCGCCCACCCGCAAGGACCUGCUCCUCGCCAUCCCCAGGCUGGAGGCCGCCGUGUGGCGGUGGUCGCCCGCGCGCCGCUCCUCGCCCUCGCCCUCGCCCUCGCCGCCGCGCGACGGCCUCAUGUACAUCUCCAACCCGGUGUACGAGCGGGGCGCCGCCGCCGGGCACGGGCACGACACGCCGUUCGAGACACCGGACGCCUCGCCGUCGCGGUGCGGGAUCACGGAGGAGGAGCGGGGGGACGGGGCGUUCUCGCCGCCGCUGCCCAUGAUGAGGAAGCUCCCGCCGCUGGGCGUGCUGGCGUGCCCCCCGCCUGCGGUCUUCGACGGCCGGCCGCCGGUGACGCUGUGGCCCGGCACGGUCGCCGACGCCAACCGGGCCUCGUCGUCGUCGUCCAACUUCACCGCGCGCUUCUUCUCCUCGUAG